rnacentral:rRNA from 1 species
CGCGUAGGCGGCCACUGCAAGUCAGUUGUGAAAUCUCCGGGCUUAACUCGGAAAGGUCAACUGAUACUGCAGGGCUAGAGUGCGGAAGGGGCAACUGGAAUUCUCGGUGUAGCGGUGAAAUGCGUAGAUAUCGAGAGGAACACCUGCGGCGAAGGCGGGUUGCUGGGCCGACACUGACGCUGAGGCGCGAAAGCUAGGGGAGCGAAC